UUUUUUUUUUUUUUUGGUUUUCAUCAGUUAAUCGUAGUUGCACAAUAUGGAGCAUAUAGGAAAAAGAUCUUUUUGGUCUUGUACACUAGUGAAAGAGGCUAAAAUAUGGAAAGGGAGAAAAAACAAACACAGAGCCAUAAAAUAAAAGUUAUAUAGGGAAAGGUCUGAUACAGGUAGUGCCUACUUAUUUGUGAUCAAAUAAUAGUUACUAUUUGGUAUGCAGCUGUAUAGCAAACUUAAGUUCAGCUGAGUAUUUGGUUCCAGUCAUGAUAAAUGCAUCAUUGAUAAUAUUUCUUCCAUUUACUAUGUAUUAAACCUUCUAACAGUGGCGUCAGGGUGCAUAUUCACUGAGAUGGUGAACAAGAUUGUACUAAAGUUCCCUACGCUAGCUUGCUUCAGCUGAGCUAACUGUUUUUCUUUCUUGAAACAGGCAUAACCAACGAUGGAGAGGAGGUACCUUUGGGCAGCAUUUGUAUUAGGGGCGAUUGUGUGUUCUCUAUUUCCUCUUCCUUCUGAAGGAUUAAAGCGAAUUAGCCUGAAAAAAAAACCCUUAGAUAUUCAAAGCAUAAGAGCUGCCAAAUUAGCUCAUCUGGAGAGCACACAUGGCGCUGGUAGGAAAGAGAUGGACAACAAUUUAGGCAGUUCCAAUGAGGACAUAUUGCCUUUAAAGAAUUACCUGGAUGCCCAGUACUAUGGAGAGAUUGGAAUUGGUACUCCACCUCAGAAGUUCACAGUUAUAUUUGAUACAGGCAGUUCCAACCUCUGGGUGCCAUCGGCAAAAUGUUACUUCUCUGUGAGUCUCUGUUAAUGUACUACUAACUAAUUUUUUGCCAUUUAACUAGAUUGUCCAUUAUCAACAGACAAAUUUUUUGUUGCAGAUUGCCUGCUGGCUCCACUCCAAGUACAAGGCAAAGAAGUCAAGUACUUAUACAGCCAUAGGUAAAGACCAAUUUUCUUGCUUCGAAUUCUUAAUUUUCUAAUUGAAAACCUAAAAGGCUUUAGACAAAAUAGGGAAAGAAAUUCUUCUGAGAAAUGAGUUUGUUGCACUUUUUAGACGUUGAUCAAAUGCUUAGGCACAUGGGAAGAAUUUCCCUAUUUGGCAACUGCAGACUUGCAUUCCUUUUGCAUCAAAUUUCCCACUCAUGAUUUUGUAGAGGUUCUUGAGUGAAGAAUGGUUCUUGUGUUUCACACUCUUGUUUUACUUCUACCGCUACUCACAAUCACUAAGAAAUUUUUAGGCUGUGUAUGCCUUUCCAUACUUUCUGCAGUGGCAGCCUUGACCAUUUUGCUUGCCCUUGAAGUUUUCUUGAUAUGAGAAAGCUUCGAGGGAUGUGAGAUUAUUGUAAUCACUGCUAAUGUGUUAGCUGUGGUUAGGGAAAUCUUGUUCAAUUCGUUAUGGUUCUGGAUCAAUUUCUGGAUUCUCCAGUCAAGAUAACGUUGAAGUUGGUGAUCUUGUUGUCAAAGAUCAAGUGAGCUUUUAUGUGGCUUUAGUCAAUCUUAUGAAGAAUUGUUUUCCUGUAUAUUAAUUCUGCUUGAUAAUUUAUUUAUCUUUUUCCCAGGUUUUUAUUGAAGCUUCACGAGAAGGAAGUCUUACAUUUGUAAUUGCCAAGUUUGACGGGAUACUUGGCCUUGGAUUCCAGGAAAUCGCUGUUGAUAACAUGGUGCCGGUCUGGUAUUGCCACAAUUAACCUGUUUUAACAGUGUUGAGAUAUCUGUGCAUGUUUUUCCUUUUCUAAACUCAAAAGAGUAAGCAAUAUGCUAAUCUGCUAUUCAAGUACAGGUAUAAUAUGGUGGACCAAGGUCUCGUGGAUGAGCAAGUAUUCUCUUUCUGGCUAAACCGCGAUCCAAAUGCUGAAGACGGAGGUGAGCUUGUCUUUGGUGGUGUAGAUACAAAUCACUUCAAGGGAAAGCAUACAUAUGUUCCUGUAACUCAGAAGGGAUACUGGCAAGUAAGUGAAGGUUUCAUGUCCAUUGGCCUGUUUUUUUGUCAUUAAUGGGAAGCAGAGGAAAUAUUCACCUUUUGUGCAUUGUUUAUAAUCUGUUUUUUUCUUCUCUUCACCAGUUUAAAAUGGGAGAUUUUCUCAUUGGGAACGUCUCAACAGGUUAGGCGCAUUAUGUAUUGUUCUGUUUCUGAAAACAAUGGCUAAAUAUCUCCCUGGAUGAUAAUUGCUUUACUGUUUGUUUUCUCCUUUCAUAUAUUUCAACUACUGUUUGUUCUUCAGAUUUUUAGCAUUAGACUUGUACAUCACGGACAUUAAGUUCCUUUAUCUAGAAGGUACAUGGUUUUAGAGCUCCACAAGUUUAAAUUCCCUUUUCAUUUUUGUAUAUUCCCUCUUGCAGGCUUUUGUGAAGGAGGUUGUGCUGCUAUUGUGGACUCUGGAACAUCGUUGCUCGCUGGUCCAACUGUAUGUUUAUGUUGAUCAUGACAUUAAACCAGAUUCCAGUUUUUGAAUAUUUAAGAUCUCUUGGAUGUAAAUCUAAAAUUUGUGAGAACAUCUAUUGCAGACUGUUGUGACUCAAAUUAAUCAUGCCAUUGGAGCUGAAGGAGUAGUUAGCACUGAAUGUAAAGAAAUUGUUUCACAGUAUGGUGAACUGAUUUGGGAUCUCCUCGUAUCAGGGGUAAUUUUUUCCUUCUCAUUCUUCUUUAUAUUUCAAAUCUUUUUCCAUAUGCAUAAUUACUAGUUUCAGAUCUGAAAUGCUGUAUCAAAAUUAUGAUGGGCCACAGGUACUACCCGACAGAGUUUGUAAACAAGCUGGUUUAUGUCCCCUUCGUGGUGCUCAGCAUGAGAAGUAAGUCUAAAAUUUUGCUUUACAUAUCACUGAACCAGGUGGACAUAAACUACAAAACCGUCUUCCAGGAAAUGGAAGGCUGCUUUCUGGGUCCCUCAAAUUACACUGGCUUCUAUGGAUAUUUUCAAAUAACAACUGUUAAUUUUCAUAAAGUUUAGAAUUUAUGCAAUCUUUUGGUGCCAAAUCUUUUGUUGAUCUAUUCAGCUAUGCUAUGUGCUUGACUGAUGCUGACCUUUAAAAAUAGAACUACUCACAUGAUUCUGGAGCUGAAAGAAUUAUAUGUGCUAAAUAACUCAGCUCUUCAACAAUAUCUCUGAGAGGUUCUGCUUAUUCUAGUAUAAUGAUCUAGAAAAGCUCGGAUCCUUUUGAUUAUAAUAUGACACAAGUUCCACAGCACGAUUUCUUCAACACACUGUUUGAGUUGGAUGAUAUACUGACUUCUUGAUCCCUUUUACUUGAUUAUUGCAGUGCUUAUAUCAAGUCAGUCGUCGAUGAGGAGAACAAGGAGGAAGCUUCUGUUGGUGAAUCCCCGAUGUGUACUGCUUGUGAAAUGGCUGUUGUUUGGAUGCAAAACCAGCUGAAACAGCAGGGAACUAAGGAGAAAGUGCUUGCAUAUGUGAAUCAGGUGAUUUUCCAUGAACUUAAUAUGCUACUAUGUAGAGGUAACAUAUGGUGCAUAAUGGUUGAUUGGAUUACCAAAUUUUUGUGCGGCAGCUUUGUGAAAGCAUACCAAGUCCCAUGGGAGAAUCCAUCAUUGACUGCAACAGUUUAUCCACCCUGCCAAAUGUUUCAUUCACCAUCGGAGGGAAAAGUUUUGAGCUGACCCCUAAGGAGGUUUGUUUUUGAUAUGCCAUUCUUACACAUGCACUUGCUAAUUAUUCUGUUUGUUCUACAUCAAUUUCAUGUUUUUCAUUCAUGUUCUGCCAGUUAUAACUUCCUCAGCGGGUAUAGAAAGUUUGCACACAGAUCAUGUUUGAUCGAAAUGGUUUCGAUCAGCAAAUAGUAAUUCUUUUAUCACAAUCUCAGGCUAAAGUCUUGAAAUUUUGUAUUUUGCACCCUUAUGCCAAGCUCUGGAAUAUCUUAUGAUGUUCUUGAAGAAAUGUCUUGGGAAAAUAUGAAAUGAAAAUUGCGACUGGAAUAAGAUUUCAUUGCACUGGGGAGAGGACUAAAUUGUAGGAACAAGGGAGGUCAGUUAUUUGUGAUUAUGCACCUAUCUCUUUUGGAAAGUACUAUGUAUAUGUAUAUGACUGGAGGGGGCUUGGGGAAAGUUGAUACGUACUUCGCUGACUUGCGUUGCUGCUCCUAGAUUUGGUGGCAGUAUUUGCUUUUUGUGUAAAGUAGCGGGGUUGGUUUUUUGGCAUGAUGGUGGAUAUAUUAGGUCAUUAUUAGCAAGUCAAGUCAUUUUGAAGCUAAUAUAUACUGAAAGCUGAUUUAAGUUUGGCCAAAGUAAGCAAUUCCUCUGGUUGGAAUUAUUCGGGUCACUGAUGUGGAAGCUUGGAUUCUACCUCCUCCUCCGCGUAUAUUUCUCAUUUCCUUUUCUGAACAUUUUUUGCUUAUAGGCCAACUGUUUCUAAAACUGGCUUUUGUUUCUUGCAGUAUGUUCUUCGAACUGGAGAAGGCUUUGCUGAAGUCUGCAUCAGUGGAUUCAUGGCUAUGGAUGUGCCGCCGCCUCGUGGUCCCAUCUGGUAUGUCAACUUUGUUAGCAUCAACGCUAGUUUUUAUGAUGAGUUUUCUCCCUGAAAUGUUAAAUCACUGCACAAGAAGGGGAGGAGGAUGAAACAUGAUUAUUCCACGAACUCUCGCCCAUAUAUAUAUAUAUAUAUAUAUAUAUGUAUAUAUAUAUAGAACUGCUACCUGUAAGAUUACACAUAAAAUGCUGAUGCAUAAAACAUAUGUAUUGGUCCAAACUCUAAUGUGUACAAUAUGUUGGUGGUUGUAGGGUUCUGGGAGAUGUGUUCAUGGGAGUGUACCACACCGUGUUUGAUUAUGGUAAUCUCCGGAUGGGUUUCGCAAGAGCUGCUUAGACAAGACUGUUUAUUUCGUCUACUGUUUGACGGUCCUAAGCGAAGCUAUGAAGACAUGUAGUAGCUUGUAAAUUAGGAUUUAAUUAUGCUUGGCUGGUUUAUUUGAGGGUGGUUGUGCUCUUAAUAUUGGAUUUUUAUAUGUAAUGUAAAUAUCUAUGCGGAUAUGCUACCUUGUUCUAGAGUUUCAAGGAAACUGCAGUAUCUACUUACGGUCGAAAAAUGGUGCCACUAUCUAUUACUCAUUCGCUCUCAAUUAUUCAGUCAUGUUUCGGGAAGAAUAGUUUUUUUGAUUGUGAUUUUAUGUUUUUUUCUCUCAAUUUUAUUUUUAUAAAUUUAAAAUUUGAAUUUGAAUGAUAACAUGAAUAUAAUUAAAGGGAGGGAUGAUAUUGAAAAGAGAAAUUAAAAGGUGCUUUAAAAGAUAACAAAUAUUUUGGGAUAUUUCAAAAUAAAGGCAGAGGGUAACAUUUUAGUUUCUACUACUGUGGUCCAGUCAUACAGGCCACAUCAAUCAGAGUCCCGCGAUAUCGUGGGUGCGUUGUGAAAUUUGCUCUUGUAGGCCCACUGGUGAGAUGUAUAGCGUGGGUGCGUUGAACAGGGCCUGAUGUGCAGUUUCGUCUGAGAAAACAUACAAAUGAAACUCAUGUUAUAAGUGGUAUUUUGGCCCAAGGCAUUUCUGGAACUCCUUGUUGCGAUAACCGUGAAAUGUGUGGAAUAUUUUUUUUUCUUCUUCUUUUUUCGACAGUCAGGCAUAGGGGUGUUUUGCAAAUCGAGUCGAUUGCGAGUCGCGAACGGCUCGAAUACGAGCUCGAGCUAAGUUGAUCUCGAGCUCGAGCUCGAGUUCAAAAACAUUAAACUCGUUGGCUCGUAAGCUCAAUUAUAUAUAUAUUUUUUAUUUUUUAUUUUAAUAAUAAAAUUACAUAUAUAUCUCUAAUAUUUUAUUAUUUAUUAAAAAAUUAUUGUUUUAUUCAUUUUUAAAAAUAAAUAAUUAUUUUUUAUUUUUUAAAAAUAUAAUAAUAAUAAUUAAUUUUUUAUUUUUUAAGCUCGAGCUUGAACUUGAUAUUUUAAGCUCGUCGAGCUCGAGUUCGAGUUUCACAAAAUUAACUCGAGCUUGGCUCGAUUAGCCAAAACUCGACUCGAACUCGGCUCAUUUGUAACCCUAGUCAGGCAUUAGUUUACUAACUUAUUUCGAUAUUAGUUUACUAACUUAUUUUAAAGGGAGAGUUCAGCUGAGCCAUUAAAGGGUCGAUAGAAAUUGAACCAUCAUUAAAUUAGACAGAUACAUAGUAUGAAAUGUGUGAGAUAUAAUAGCUCUCAAUUCCUUCGAACUUGCAAAACACCGAAAUUUUCUACCAUGGGAAAUCCGUGGCAUGUGAUUUACCCUGAGGCCUGUAUGCACCAUCGCCUGUAUGGACAAGUCUCUCUGUAUACCAUGGACAAGAAUCUCUGUAUACUAACAAUCUAUAAUAUUAGAGGUGGCAAUAUGGAUAAAUGGUUCAUAAUUGGUUUUGACUUAAUGGAUGAUGGAUGAAAUUUAUCCAAUCCAUUUAAAUCCAUUUAAUAAAUGGAUCUAAAUGGAUGGAUCUAAAUGGAUUAAAUAAAAACCAAUUAUCCAUUUAUAAUCCAUUUAAAUAUUUUGGUUACUUUUUUUUUGUAUUACCAUUUCUUGUAAUAUGAAGAUACUUUUUUAUGUACUCGUAAAUUUUAGGUGUCGUUGGAUGAGAAAGAUGGCAAAAUACUUAGAUUUUUUAUUUAAGAAUUUAGGUAGUAUUUUGGUCUAAUUUAAGAACAAUUGGUCUAAUUUGGUUACCGUAAUUUAUAAAUAAAAUUUUCAAAUGUUAUUUAACCUAUAUCAUAAAUAUAAUUUUUAAUUUUUUUUAUCUCAUACACGUCAUGUCACAAAAAAUUUAUAAUAUUCUUUCAAAUACAACCAGUGAUUGGAAAAUUUUCUGGGUUUAAAUUAAAGAAACAGUGAGGGAACCCAGUUAGGAAUAGGAGGGAAGGUUAAAAUUGAGUUCAUUGAUGCGGUCCGCCGCAUGAUUGGGGAGCAUGGAGGACUACACUGUCAUAUAUUUCUUGCUUGCAAGUUUUGAUCAUGAUUGGCUACUUUUAUUUGGUUUUUAAAUAAAUAGAUAUAUAUGAUUUUUAUGGAUAAUCCAUAUAAAUCCAUUUAAUUUAAUGAUUUUACUUUAGUUAUCCAUUUAAAACCAAUAUCAUAAAUGGAUAAUCCAAAUUCAUUUAAUUAUGGAUUAUAUGGAUGGAUAAAUGGAUCUCGAUCCAAAUUGCCACCUCUAGUCUAUAUGUUGUUACUGUUAAAUUUAUUAUACACGUGUAAAAAAUUAAAUUUAAAAUUUAAAAUUUCACAUAAUUAUCAUUUAUUCAAUACUGAGUGAUUAAUCCUAAAUAUAUGUGCAUACCACCUGUACAAAACUUGACCAUAGUAAACUUAUUACACCUGCUAUUUGCAUCAAGUGUAGACAUUUGAGGUAACAGAUCAUAAAUUUCCAAAUUUAAGUUUCAAUCAUCAAAAGCUUAAAAUACUAUUCAAAGACACUUUAAAAAAAAAACAGUGUUUGAUAACCAGACAAUGCCAUUUAAAACAAUGUCAUGCAGUGCAAAAUUAAAUGUCCGGAUUAUACUAAAAGAUCCAUAUAUAACACAUUUUACAACAAAAGUCAACAAUAGCACAAAUCACAAUUACAGAGCACCAGGAAAUACAGAACGGUACUCGAUCAAGGAAACUCAUCUACCACAAUUUCCUCCUCCAAAAUACUCUCGUUUCCUCUACUCCUCAUCACUGUUAUUGCUGAAAACUGAAGCAACUGGUACUUUUGGCUUUUUCGUGGCGCUUUUAACCAAGUUCUGCUUCAAACAAAAACAACAUAUAAAGGAUAAGCAGAGUCCAUAAAUAAUCAGCACGUUUAAAACAUAACUAAAAUGCCUGGAUAUGAGGAUGGGGAAGCAUAAUUUGACAAUUUCAGCCAAAAAAAAAAAAAGCAGCAGUUUAGGCAUUUCUGCCUACUCAAGAUUCUAGUUAGAAAUCUCGUUUCUGGAGCAACAAAUUGUCCUUCAAAUAAAACUAGCAUAUCAGUGAAAAGUACAAAAAUGGCUUCUAACCUCUAAUCAAUUUGCUAAUCAAUCAUUACAAGUAGUUGAUUAUCAAAUCUCUAUCUGUCAUCAAUCUGCGCGAGCAGUUUCGAGAAAAUCCUUUGCAAAAGAUGAUAUUACUUAAACUCUUCUAUCAAAUUUUAUCUCUUUUCUUCUUCAUUCCCACAAAGGAUUAUCAAAACCGAUAAAAUGAAUUUUAAGGGGUAAUAAAUGACGGUGACAAAAUGUAGAGAGACACUAGAAUGAAAUUGCAUAAUUGGGUAUCACCAUUUGUUCAUGUUUUAAAAGCUAACUUUAUCUCUCUUUUAAAACAUCAGUCGUUUCUGCACAACCAGAACUAAGAUCUUUGAAAACUCUGUCGACUCUCUACUUCUUUUUUUUUUGGGGGGGGGGGGGGAAUUGAAACAAAGGGUGAGAAGGUUGGUUUAUCAAGUCAAUCUGGUAUAUCAUUACAUUUCUGAAUUUCUGACAAGUGGGACUAAUGUUAAACCAAUAGCACGUUGUAGUUAAGAAAAGGGGGAAAAAGGUUGACAUUCAACUCUCAAAGUACCUUUGAAGUGCUGCCUUUUGCAGCAAAUCCAAACUUCAAAGCCUUCCUCUGGUCCUGAUCAGCAAGUGCAGUAGCACUUUUCACUGCAGCAGAGACUGGGUUGCUACCAGGUUCCUCAUGCUUCUGCUGCUGCUUCUGUGCAUCAGCCCUGGGGUGGUAUUAGAUAGAGUUAGCCAUCAACAGAUAUCGCCGAUUAACCUCUUCUCCCCACCCAAAAAUAACAAAAGAGAAUCCCUCAAGAGAAAAAAGGGAGAUCAACGAAACUACAUCUGUGCAAACUUUGCGAUUUCUCUCUCUUGACGUUGUUGUUCUCUUUUCUGCCUGUCAUCACGACUGCUACUUCCAUGCAUUUCCCUCAUCUCUUUGAACCUCUGGAUUUGACACAAAAAAAGAAGAUGAGAUUCAGACAGGCAAGAAGAGUGCAAUAAGAACAACAAACCCAAUGAACAAGUAGUAGUGAAUCAGCUGAAGAAAGACUACAACCUUUCUGUGGUUGUGGUCAUAUGAGCUUAGAUGUGCUUCAAAUUCCAUUGCCAAUUUAUAUUGCUUGUUGCAGAGAUCACAAAAGAACACCUUGCGAAUUUCUUUCACUUCAGUUUGAAUUUUCUGCUCACGUUCUGCUAUAACCUGGAUUUUCAAUGUGCAGGAAGCAGGCAGUAGAAGCCACCAGGUAAUAAAAACUGCACGAAAUUCUCAAGACCUUCCAAAGUUGAUGUUCGCAUAUGAUAUACCAUUCCCAUCAAAAGACACACAUAUAUGCUAUAUGCUGCCUUCUGUUAUUAGAUGUAUGUUUCAGAGAAAGUAAAGCAUCAACUCGAAUUAUCUCUUAUUGAAAAUAUUUACCACUACUGACAACUUUAAUGGCAUACCUCCCGUUUCUUAACAAGUUCAUCAGUCUCCUCAACCUCAACAUCCAACUUUCUUCGCUGGAUGUUUUCCUCUGCUGUAAAAUAAUCAUCUUCUUCUUGUUUUCCAAUCCCUAAUUUUGGGUCUCUUAUACCAGAUUUUAUGGGCUCAAUUAUGCCUGCUUAUACAGAAGACGUGAACAUGAUAUUAGGUAACAGGAUAGCAAUAAUGGUAAAUAUGACACUCCAGAAAGCCAUGAAACAAGAAGCAGAGAAGGUUCCAGAUGAACUUCCACAUUCUGCAAACCCUUAAGAGAGAACCAAAUAAAAAAUUUCAUUUAAGCAGGAUUCAAACACCUAAUGCAAAAAUGGGACCCGGCUAGUCAUCAGCAUUGCUAAUAAUGAGAACAUAUAGUCUGUUACGAGGUUGCAAAUAUCUGCUGUCAAAAUACCCAAAACCGACUUCAUCUCUACAAAAUAUCCUUUAAAGAGAAAAGUUUUACAAAAUUGAUGUUAAAAAUAAAAGAAGGCAAAAUGGUGAUUGUUGUAAAUAUGAUGAGCUGACUUGCACACAACCAACCUAUCCUGAGCUAAAAGGAUAUGCUAGAAUUAAGUCCUAAAUUUAAUAGGGUUAGCACUUGAAACGUGAGACAAUACAUAACAUAUUCCACAAUUCGUAACAUUACAAUGGAAGUUCAAUAUAUACUGUUUCAAACAAAAUCACCCAGUUCUUUUGACGUUAGCUGCAAUCUCUACAACAAAAAAUCCAUCUUGUCAGAUUUCUAAUAAAGAACUGCACAUGCUGGAUCUAACAGAACUCAUAUUCCAAAGAAAAGAUGAUUUCCACACAAAGGUAAUAGGAUAAUAACCUGAAACACUUAGAUUUAUGUUGUGCAACAUGUAUAAACAGGCAUUCUACCACAAGCUAUACCUUGCUCAUCCUUUCCAAGUCCCUUCCCUUUCCAUCCCAUCUUCUGGAGAAGCCUGAAUCCAACAUUAGAUGAUGUCAACUGAGUGUCUAAAGAUGCUUGUUCCACACCAUCUAGAUCCACAUUCUCUGUUGGUCUAUGAUCAAUUGGAAGACGAAAAUCAUCUGCAAGAUCCUCAAGAACAGAAGCCUGAUGUGCCUGCCAGACAAAAAUAAAGCAUGUAAUUAAACUGAAGAUCAUCUUGACAUUGAUUAUCCCAAAAUCAGACAAAUUUUAAAAUACAAGGUUAAAACCAAAAAAAUGCAACAAAGGGAUUAGGAAAACUAUCCACUCUCAGACAAAUACAGAAUAGCAAAAGGUAUACUAGUAGAUGAAAUUUGCAUAUGCAAGACGGAAAAUCUCAACCUUGCAAUAAAAAAGCAUUUACUGAACUCCAUCAUGAGCAUAAAAAUAUUUUUGACAAAAAGAACCUGAAAACCUCAUAGACCCUAGAAAUAACUUGACGAUAAAUUAUGCAAAACCAUUCCACAUAUCAGUUCUUGAAAGAAUCUGUUCUGACUUCCCAUUUUUGGUGGGCUAGCAUAGUGAACCAUAAAUUCAAAUGAGGUAAAAGGACAAAAAGGAAGUCUUUUAAUAAAUAGGAUUCUAUAUGAUCUAUAAAAGAAAACAUAGGAUCUGCAUAAUGAAUGAAUGAGUACCUCGUCUUCUCUUCUAUCUCUAACUCGCAUCUCUUGUUUACCACUGUACCAUCUAUCAUCCAUUGUCUUGUACGCCUAGGCAACACAGAAAGAACGAAAUAAUCAACACACAUGAACACCCCCAGAAUCUGCUUCAGAAUCUAAAUUUCCAAAAAUGGAAAACUUCAAAAGAUAAUAAAACACAUAUACGUCUCCCAAAAAAAUGGUAGUGCAUACACAUCAAUGCAUAGACACAAGCUUUUAAUGGCAACAUGUCGGGAACAAUCUGACGAACAUAAAUUUACAAGACAGCAGAACACCAACAACAACUAUUAGACAUAAAUCUACUCUCCUGAUCUAAUUUGUCCUACAAGAAUGUCACAUUCCAUCAAGUGCAAGGCUAAAAAUAAGCCACUCGCAUAUCUCUGACCACCAAAAAUACAUAGAAAACUGGAGGGAGAUGGAAAAGGAAAAGAGCAUUGUCAUUGACUUAUGCGGAGUGUGAAUUUGGACUUAAUUACACCCCUCUGCAAGGCAUUAAAUUGUGAUUGAAAAAAUCAACUGUGCAAAGCAUCGAGUCAUCUUCCAAUAUAAUUCCACAUCAACCACAUGGAUAAGGACAUACAUGUGAAUACAAACAUCAGCUCCCAAGCAUUUCAAUCUAGACAGUCAUUUCAACAGAAAACCAUGUGUUCUGAGCUUGAAUUAUUCUUAUAACAGUUCUUCACUUAAAUUUGAGGGGUAUGGAGAUUUUUUCCUUUUCAGCUGAGAAUUAUUUCUUUAUAUGUAUAACAGUUCUUCCAACCCAACUCUGGCAGUUCUCCUAUUUAGGUUAAGACUACUUCCCUACUUAUGUUCCUCGAAAUUUACCACAGGAAAACGAGAUACUUAAAUUUACAACCAAAAAAGAACCUCAAAUUUCGAACACAAAUUCAACAUUUCUGGAAUUCAAUUUCUAUUUCGAUCGAUUAUUACCGCUCUCAAAAAAAAAAAAAAAAAUCUAGGGUAUAAUUUUUUUUAGGUAACAAUCUAAGGUAUAAUAGAUCCAGAACGCAAUCAAUGAAAAUAUAUAUAUAUAUGUCCCAGAAAAUCAACUAUGCGUGUCGAAUUGAAAAAAAAAAUCAGUAAAUAAGAAAAUUUACCUAGGCGUAAAAAAGUUUGGGUGCUCGAUGGGUUUUGGAUUUUCUUCUGAAGUUCUCAAUCUCCGACAAAAGAAGAAGAAAGGCUAGAUUUUCUGGGAUUUAAUAUUCUUACCCACAGUUGAUGGUUUUGGGUCACGGUUGUUUGUUCUCACGCUAAGCCCCGUAAGCAGAUCAUCGGGUUCUACUAAUCUAGGUCCGAAUUUUGGAGUUCGAAUUCGACCUGUGGCCAUGGGCUUAUAUUUCACAAUUGGCUUGUGGGUUCGGUUCUGAUAAUCUACGUGGGCUUUGGGCCGUAAAGCAUAAUUCCUGCUUGAAAUGAGCUGCGAACUUUGAAUGUAUCCGAACCGGGUGCCCAAAUUCUAAUUCUGCGCAUGGAUAACAAAUUCUUGAAUAAAUAGUUUUUUUUAAAAUUUUUUAUUUUAGUGUAAGCAGGAGGAUCUGAACCCGAGACCUCUGACUUACACUCCCUUCCCCCGUAACCCAUUUACUCAUAUGUUUUUUUUUUCCUUCCAAUUUUAGUGCAGGUAGAUGAGGGACGGAUUGAUAAGCACAAUAGGAAGUGGGCUACUCAUUUAUUGUUUAUUUUUAUAUAUCAGAAAAGAAAUUGUUGUUUGAAUAUUGUGAAUUAACUAGAUAUUAUUGUAUUGCAUUUGGUGCGCUCGUGCUUGAUGUUACAGGCGAAAUAUUUUCUUUUGUACAGCCAGGUUAUAUUCACUAUGAAAAUGUGCUUGUAAAAUUAAAAUUCUGUAGAUAUUUAAUUUUAGUUUAAUGAAUAUUGUGAAUUAACUACUAGAUAUUAUUAUAUUAAAAGUAUUUUUAUUUGGUGCUUGAUGUUACGGGGGGCGAGAUAUUUUCUUAUAAAAAGGUUAUCCACUAUGAAAAUGUACUCCUAAAAUUAAACUUUGGCAUAUGUUUUAGUUAAAUAAUUCGUGUGACGCUUCAGUUUUAACGAAUAAAGUUGUUAUGAGAAGCAUCUAUUAAAGAUAAAUGACUUUCUUAGUAUGUAAAUGAGUAAUUUAUUUACAAUGGGGUUCCAACUAAUUGUACUUGAUCCUAACAAUAGAAAAGAAAAAUUGAUGGAGGAAUCAAAUAAAGCUUGAUAGAGAUCGCAUUAACAUUUCUUUUGGACUUGCAAAGCCAAUCAAUUGAUGAAGUUGGUAGGAUGCCCAUCUAGAAAACUAGAAUGCAAAUAAAACAUGCCAACACAUGCUUUUUACCAGAACAUAUCAAAGUUUUUCAAGUGCAUUGUUAGUGGAAGUGAUAUAAAUGUAUGGCCUAAACUUUUUUUUUUUUUUUUCAACACAGAGAGUGUUCCAACUUUCGAUCAAACUAAUCUCCCUAUACUUGUACUCCUGUCCCCCAAGAAACACAAGACGAUAGAAGGAAUCGAACCCAACCAUACGAUAUCAGGACCUAACUAGGCGACCCCAGCACCAGCUGAGCCAACCCCGAGGGAUCUAAACUAGAAACGAGUAUUUUUAAGCUUAAAAUUGUUCUUGAUGCUCUCUUGCUAUAGUGGUGCCUAAUUGUGGCCCCAUGAUCAAUAUGAACACAUUACUGCAGUCCUCAAAAGGAGGACCAUUUCGUACUUUAUUUCUUCUUUUUAUUAUUUUUUAAGUUGUAGAGCCAGCUUCUUUUGAGCUUAAUUAUGUAUGAAGUGUUGCAACAUAUAUAGAUGACUAUACAGUUGUCUACAAGAAUCAUAAUGUCCACGUAGAUGUGAAAGAGACAAAAGUGGGACUACAUCAUCAAUUUACUCAAGAACUAAAAGUUGUGCUGGAGGAACAAACUAGCUAGCACCCUUUACCAACAUGUAUAAAAUUCACAUAUUUGUGUAUCUGCAGGAUUUCCCUUUCCAUUUUUAAUAACUACAAAAGCACUCCUGCAUGAAAGUAGUUUUGACCAUAUUAGUUGAAAGUAAUGCAAAAGUUCAGAGAAGAUUAGUCAUGGUCCUGAUUAUGGGAUUGACUAUAUAAAUUGACUAGCUGUACAUGCCUCUCCUUCAACAAGCAACCGCGUAUUCAGAAGCCCACAGGGAAUAUAUGAAAGGAAUAUGUUUUCGUUCUAAAGAUCAAGAGCAUUAUUAGACGAUGGAAUUGCAUUCCCCCUCAAGCAGCGAGUUUAAGUUGGUUAUAGCCCUCAGGCUACAACCUUCUUUUGGUGUAUGAUGAAGAAGUCACAAUGCAAAAAUGUAUGCUAAACAUCUAUUCCUAGGCAUACAAUUGAACAAUUUUAAUUAUUAGAUAGGGUUUUGCUAGCUAGCUAUAACUGAGUAGUAAACCUCUGAUGACAUGUACUUAUUACAAGUUAAUGCUUGACGAUUGGCUUAUUGUUAUUUAUCAAUGUGAUUAGACUUACUGGAGAAAACUAUGUGGUAUGUGUCAACUGAUUUACUUUCUUGAGAUUACCAACCUUGAACAGCCUAACACGGUCUGAAAAAAGCAGUACUAGUUAAUCCAUGUACUUUUCGGCUAUUGCAAUGAACCUAUAUAGUACUGGUUAACGUGAAGACAGCCAGAAAAACACUAUAAAACAUAUUAUUAUAAAAGCUGAUUGGAAUAAUGAGCUAAAGAAGGUGGUUCCGUAAUUUCGAAGUACAAAGGUUAGUGGGCAUGCAUGCAUACCAACCUCCGGCUGUGGUUAGGGUUUAGGAAGAAUCCUUAAAGCUAGACAGCUUGCAAGCAAUGUUGGUAUAGGAAGGUGUAAAUUUCCUUUAUUUGUCUGAUUUUUUUUUUUCUUUUCAUAAAAAGUUUCCCCAAAAGCCAAAUUAUGUACUCAUUACCCUUGUUUCUUAGUUUAAGGCGUAGAAGCCAAUGCAUGUAUUCAAACAUUCUAAAAGAGCACUUCCAAGGAUUCUUUGACGAUCUUUUCUCUUCACUCUCGAUCGAGUGGCUAUCAAAUUACUUUUUUAUGAUAUAUUCUCCUCCAGUAGCUUUCUUUUCACUUUUGCACAUCAAAAUCACUGUUCAUCCACUCAAGCUUGUUGCAGAACACACAAUGGGGCAAAUAUCUACUAGUUGUAAUAAAUUAUACAGGAAAUUGCUAGAUAUGCAGCCCUCUUCAGUUUUUUGAACGAAAUAAGUUGGUUUUAUUCGUUUUAGCUCGUGCUCUGAUUUGAUUUCACACACACAAAUUAAGCACCUUCAUACAUAACGACUUCUACUUUCCAGAACCCUCAAGGAAAAUGAGUUCAUAAAGAGUUUAAACCAAAUCAUUUGAUGUAAAAGCCUUCUGAAAAGCUAAAUGACAAUAGAACUGUAAGCUCAGGGUCCAAUUAAUCAUUCAUUAUACAACUUUGUAGCUUUACACUUUUUCGUUCACCAAUAUUUAGUGUUAUGGUGUUUCUAUACAGUCCUACAUAAUCUUCUCUUCCGGCUAAGCCCAUAUCAUUGCUAUUCUAUUUGAUUUGUCAAGUUACAGCCCGUUGUAGCUAGCUGGUAAAUUAGGUACCUGGUUGUAAAACAAGAAUCAGACGAAUCUCUAAGAUUGCUUUGCAUUUCUGUCUCCAAAAGAUUAGAUUAAGUAGCGUAUGGCAUGUCAACACCUGCAACUGGAAUCGAUCUGUCUCAUUCAGUAAAACUAAAUUAAUCAUCACUCUGCUCAAUAACUAAGUAACUGGAGUUUGAUAGUAACCUCGUACAGGAUUUGGAUAAGAAAGCCAUUCUAGAGAUUUUCCACGUUCGAAAUUAAGUCACUUCAAACGUAUCUUAAAUGUUAGAGAUCCAGAUUAAGAGAAACUACUGGAAAAGACAUAGCCAUAUUUAAGUGAUGAAGAGGGUACUUAAAUCUACCUUAUCUCUGAUUUUUUUUUUUCAAAAAAAAACUGGUCAGAAUCUGUUAGCCUUCCUUUUACCUUCUUGUCAGGAAAUAUUGAAGAUUCCUUGAUCACUCACAUAUUUUUUUUUUUAUUCAAUAUUGUUGUUCUAUUUCUUGUGAAUGUUGAACGUUAGGCCAUCAACCCUUGGUAUAUUAUUUGCCUGACACAGUAACAACCAUCAAGUACCUAAUAUGAUAAUUUACAACUUAAAGGAAGUGGACUGUUACAGAAAGUGCUUAGAUUUAAUCAUUUAGAUACCUUUAGGUAUUUAACCCAAAGUGUUGCUUUUUUCCAAAUAAACGGUGCUAUAUUUUCAUCUUCUUGCCUACAAUAUAGUGAUUUCAAACCUUGGGAAACGUAUAGAUUCUAUAGAAGUAAUGAUAACAAAAAAAAAAAAAAAAUUUCUUUCACUUGCUGAAACACAUGACUUGGGCAUGUUUUUCUUUUUAAACGAAGGUGGAGGAAAAAUCUGAAAAGGAAUCGCAAACGUAGACGACUUGGGAAGUCAAUUUUGAGCAUGGACAUCAAUUCAUGCCUUCAUUACCAAUCUUAAAAAUGGAAUCAUGACUAAGUAUUAUGUCUUGUUAAAUACCAAAGGAAUUAAGGGCCGUCAAUAAUUUCAUCCCAAUUGCUGUGAGAAUUAAGAUAGUGCAUAUCAUAAGAAGCAAGUAAAUUCGGUAGCUACCUACCUGUGCAUCUUCGUAGUUGGUUCAACAAUGCUUUUGUCAACUUUCAAACCAGCGGUCCACAAUGCAAAUUCUUUGCUCAAUUUUUACCAGCAGUAUAACUUUCAUUUCAUAAUUUCCAUCCAUGAGGACCGUCAAUCAGAUCAACGGCCUUGAUUCAUUCUUCAUUAUCCACCCUUGGAUCACCUCACCAACCGAGUAUAAAUUCAACAUCCCUGCAUGGCUAUUGGAAUACCAAGGCAUCCCAAAUCAAGAUACAAGCUUGAUCAAAAUAUCAAUUCCCUCUAAAACCCCAAUCCUCCAAAACCAAAAGAAACUUCCUAAGCAGCCAUGGGAGGCGGCAAGCAAAAGAAGUCUUCAGGUUCCUCUUCUUCCUUUUCCUUUUUCAGCAUGUUCAAAACCAAGUCUAGGAGGGCAGAUGACAUGAAGGAUGACUACAUGAAGGCUUAUAAAGUGUGGCCUAGUGAUGAAGAUAGAGGUCGAUGGGUAGCUGAGCCUGGAAUUGAUAGGAAAGCUUCUGCUUUCAUUAAUUCAAGAACAGAAAGGUGGAAAAGCGUCGAAGUUGCCAACUAACCAAAGCUCAAAUGCUUUGAUGAUCAGCUGUUCUUGACUACAUUCGUUAUGAGUUCCAUAAGAUCCCAUCAUGUUGCUUUAUUUUAUAUUUUUGUUUGUAGGUUUUAGUUUUGUUCUCUAGCUUGUGAUCAACCUGCAAAUUACUUAACGAAUAAUGUGAAAAUCCAUUUGUUUGUAUUCAAGCUUUGAUCUCUUCUCUUUAUUAACUUCAGAUUGGCAAUAAUUAUCCUUUGUUGGGCAUUUGAAGCUUAAUUUUAUCUAUCAAGUGUACUAGCAAAAUGCUUAACAAUGGCUGUUUCCCUCUAUAUCACUCCAUCAACUUCAAGCGCAACGACCAAUUCAUAGUCGGCUGAUAUUGAUCUUUACCAAUCCUUGGAAAUUUCGACUGAAAUAUGCAAAAAAUACUUGGAAGUUUCUGCCCUUAUAUGCAUAAUUUUGAAAGAUGUGAUUCAAAAUUACAGUGAUAAUUCUUGAGUAUGCAUGGGAGAAGAAUAAACAUGUCGACUGAUGAGUCUGAUUUCAGAGACUGAAGCAAUAAUGCAUGGUACGGACCGCCUUUUCUUGGCCAUGAGAUUAUCAGAAUCCAGUUUUCUCUCAGUUAAAGAAUAUUAUAGGUUUGCGUGCCCCUUGGUCUUGGAAUCCUUGAAAAUCCCAUGAAGAAGGGUGUGUAUUGCUUCUGCUAACAUUAUUGGUAACAUCCUACCCAUCGUUGUCUGAAAGUUCUACUUCAAGCUUCUGAUGUUUAUUCCAGGAUUCAUCCUUAAAAUUUUCCAUUGUCGUUCUUUCCCUUCCUUCUUAUCCUUCAAGAUCUUAAAUCGCCUCAGAUGAUGAAUGAUGAAUAGAAGCUAGUUAUUAAGCAGAGAAAAUGGAGGGAAGAAAGAUCACCUGCAUGAAAGUAUACACCAUGAUUCUAUUAAAUAUUUUUUCCAUAAUUAUAUGUGGUUAAAUUGCAAAAGUUGAAUUUGGAUUUCUGAAAAUGAUUGAUCAACUUAAUAGAAUCUUAUGGAAGUACAAAAUUACUUUCUUCGAUAAUUUUACAGCAGACAACAGAACAUGCAUUUGCCAUAUAAUUCCUAGUAAAGUGACUAUUUAUUGUACUUAUUCGCUCCCUCAUUGGGCUUAGGGAGAAUCUUGGAAAAUAUCAUUGCCCAUAGUCCUCCUUUAGUUUAUCAAUUACUGUUGGUAUUUCCCCUCCUUUGGUAAAAUGAACCCCAGAAGCCCAGAUACUGGUUGAAGUAGGAAGAAGAUGCUCAGAUGUUAAUUGUUGUAUCAGGGCCGGGCAGCUUGCAUUCAUGUCUUUUUUGGCUUUCAUGCUGCCUUUCUUCAAGUUAAUAUUGUUAAAGUAUUAAACUUCAAUCAUUUCUGACCAAUGGUUUUAUGGCUACUCGGGUAGCCGCCAACGCCCACUGUGAAAAAACAGGACCACCAAUGAUUCUUCAGGAAAGUGAAAUACAACCACCAGAGAAUUAUGUAUAUUAAUUAGCCCGCUCAAGCUCAUGAUACCUCUAGUAAUAUCUUGGGAUUCUCCCUUCUUCUCCUCUCCUUUAUCCUCCCUAGAUCAUUCACCUCAUUGGUCAUUUGCAGAUAAUAGAGACAUAAUGGAGGGGGAUCCUAGGCAAAGUCACCUGCCUCCCAACUUGAUUUACAGAAAAAAAAAAAAAAAAGUACAAUCAAUAAGGUGUCCAAUGAAGCAAUCUAUGUGAGGGUAAUUUCAUUUGAAAAACACAAUACAUGGUUAACAUAGAUAACAUUAGGUAGUUUACAAUCUAUGCCUCCAAAUUAUUUUUCAUUGUAUUUUGGUGUUUGACAAAAGGGUUUGGCAAUUUAUUGCUGAAUAAAUGGACGGAUAGAAGCAACUCUUAAUCAAUGUUUUGAAAAUCGGACCGGAUCAACCGGUUUGAUCGAUUGAACCGCGAACCGGUCAUGUCUUCGGUUCGAUUCAAUUACAAAGCCAAGGAAUUAAUUGAAUCGGCCAAAAUCGGUCAAGAACCGGUUGAACCGGUAAAUUCCGGUAAAAAUCGGGAGAUUCAACCGAUUUUUAUUAAGUAUUUAUUUUCUAAAAUAAAUAUUUUAGUUUUAUUCAAAAUUUUUAAUAAUAAAAUGAAUAAAAAAUUAUUAAAUCUUUGAAAGAAAGUUGAACUGGUUGAACCGAUCGAACCAUGAACCGAAAGAUUUUUCGGUUUACUCUCCGGUCCGAGUUUAAAAACAUUGCUCUUAAUUUGACACAAGAAAACUCACAAAUCUAACCAAUUCUUGCACAAUUAGACACCACUGUUAGAAUGGCCAACAUGGAAUCCAGAUUGUGAGUAAUGGGUACACAUGUUUACAAAAGAGGAAGUAGUCUCUGAAUAGUUGCAGGCUACAAGAUACUCGUGCAUUGGUUUUCAUUCUCCUUUUCUGAUACAGCUGUAACCUGCAUUCAAGGAUAGCCAUCUAAUUGCAAUAUAUACUUCUUUCUUUUCAGUGCCUUUCACAAUGGUUCAAUCAUGCGUGCUGUCUUGAAGAAGUUUCCUUAGGCCACCGAACCUUUCUAUUCCACUAUACUUAUAUUACAAUGGGUUCAUACCUUUCUCACUUUCUUUUGGACUUUAUAUCGAUUUUUUCCUGGUUUUUGUCAUGCACUUGCAAGAUUCACUACAAAGUACACACCAUUUUUCGUUGCCGGACAAGAAUGUGUUGCAAUUCAGCAAAGGGGCUUAGCCAUCCAAAAUCAUAAGUGGAACAUGCAUAAUGUUGCGUUCCUUCUGAAAUUGGAUAAUAACCUCAAUUUGGUCCUCAUUCUCUUGCUUUAGAUACUACCUACAUAUAGCAUCUUGGGCCUAGCUAGUGUGAACUCACAUAAAAUAAUUUUCUAAUUAUGACUGGAUCGAUUCUUAAAAUCAAAAUGAGGAGAAACAAAUAUGGCAAAUAAAUACUUUAUCCCUUUUAACAUUGGGUUAAUCCUCUUAUCAUCUUGUGUCCAAAUAGCUUGCAAACCCUCUCAAAUCAUUGCAAACACAUCUUGAUCUGUCCCAGAAGAAAAGGGCAAAAAAAAAAAAGUUCGCUUGUCUUCUUGUGAGUUGUGCUUAAGAGUCCCUUAUCUUUCCCUUAAAGUACACACGUAUAUCAUACUUUCUUUAACAUUGCAAGAUGCUUCAGAUAUAUUUAUUCACCAUUUUACCUUUUACAAUUACUUGUCAUCUGAAGUGUAAAUUUGUUAAUUGAAUCUUAAUUGUGACAGACACCUAGACAUUGGGAUGCCUAAAUACAAAGGAUUUUUUUUUUUGUCAGCAACGAUACAUUUGUAUAAUCUACUCUAUCCUAAUCUAGGGGGAGGGGGAGUCUAAGGAGGCUGUUGUAGUGGCUAGUGGGUAUACAGACCCAACUAGACCAAGAGAAUGUUAUGGCACAACUCUUAGAUAUUUUUUGACUGCUGGUGAGGUUUGAACUCUCACCAACAGUCCAAGGAAGGAGGACUUAAGUCCCUCUCUGGUGGCCACUGACCCAUCGGACCGCUGGUUCUAAAUGCAAAGGAUUCGAAAUUCAGAAUUGGUUAAAGUUGCAGUAAUCCGACAAGAGCUAAGCAGGAGAAGCUAACGUUGAAUUUGCAUGUAUCCAUACAACUGGAACAAGGACACGUGGUUGUCACUUACAACCUUGCAAGGAGGUUCGUGGCCCAAAUUUUAUUAGUAAGGCAAAAAUUCAAAUGUACAGAUGAGAGAAUAUUACAUAACUUUUGAUUCGAUUAACAUGUACAGCUUUAUAUGAUCAGUAAUGGUUAACUAUAAUAUCUUUGUUACAAAACUAUACAAGUAGUUUGUAAUGAGUUACAAUUUGUUCAAGAACCCUUACACUGUUUCGAAACAGUUGCAUUAACAAUUAUUCCUGUUCCUCUCCCACCAUCCGUACUUGCCAUUGACGAAAUAGUAACUUAUUUCAAGAAAGCAAUCACGUAAAAGAAAAAAUAAGAAAUGAAAAAGAGAUACUUUCUUAUGUCUUGCUCUAUCCACUUAAAGACUAAACAGAUAAGAGUUAGGCCAUAUGAUUCGUCUUAUUGGCAUUCAAGUUCAUUGUUUGCUUCAUAGGAAGAACAAGCAACAUUGGCGGCAUAUACAGACAUGCCAUCAACCAGUAUUUGUAAUGACCAGCAUCAUAACUUUUGACUUGUAUUGAGGUUCUGCUUGUAUAUUUUUUCAAUGUGAUCAUGGAGCUCCUUUUGUCUUCAGACGUUUAUUCACAUGCUUCAACAUAUCAUCGUAUCUCAUUUUCUCAUGAUUCUCGUCUAUCUCCAUUGCAUAUAAUUGAAUGAAGCCAUAUAUUCCUCGUUAUCUCUUGGAAUUCUUGAUUUCCAUGCGGUACGGUGUAUAUUUUACAACUCUAUGCAAUUUUAACCCAAUGAAUGCCCAGGGUAUAUAAGGUGAUACUAUUAUAAGAAGUUUGGUAUAACUAAUCCAACUAAAGAUUAGGCGUAAAAUAAAUGGCAAGGCAUCAAAGACUGGCGACGGCGAAUUAUGGUGCAUGUUAUACUUAUACCACACCAACGGCAAGUAACUUGAAUAGUAUUUGAGUCCCAUAUUUUUUUAUUACUAAACAAUGUUUCGUUUCAGAUUAUCUAUCGUUGAUUUCAUUUAGUUAUUGUUAGAUAUACUAUAUUCUGUUAGGUUUAAGGGUAUUUGUAGCAUUAAAUUUUCAUUAUAACACACACACACACGUAUAUAGUGUGCGUGUGUGUGUGUGCGCGCGCGCUAAUAUGCUAGCAUGCAUGUAUGUAAAGGAGGAGAAAAAUUGGAGAACUGGUUGCAAUACAACUCGAAAGAAAAGGAAUAGAAGAAGAAGGAGAAGAAAAAAAUGAUAAGUAAAUACUAGUAUAAUAGAUUUCUUGAAUUUAUAUGAAUAAACCUAAGAAUAAUAGGAAAACAUAAAUUUAAUGGCAAAAAAAAAAACUGACAGAGUGGUAAAAUACUACUUUUGUGAGUUGUGCAAGUGAUUUGAAACAAAAAAAAAAAAAAAUCGAGUGACCAAAUAUAUAAGAUUUGAAAGUUUAGUAGCAAAAAAGGAUUUUUACACAUUUUAGAUUUCAGUGAUGGAGAAAGCUUUAUAUUUUCUUUUUCUUAUUCGUUUGGAGGAAAUUAUUGUCUAGGUGUAACAAUUGCUUUUGGGUGAAAUAUAAUUAAAGAUUUUCAUCAACGCCACGAUAUCUGAAUUCAUAACAAUAUAUAGUGUACUUGUUUUCAUUCUGCGAUCUUCUUCACCAAUUGAAAAACUCACACAUACAACAAUUGCUUCAAGCUGAUUUUUUUUUUUAAAUAUAAAUCUUCGGAUGUUUUUGCUGCAUUCUUUGGCAUCAUAGUCUGUGUCAUCAACAAGAUAUAAAAUGCAUCUUGUUGUUGAGAUGUGAUUGGCUGAAAAGUAAGAUGCAAGACUAGCAUGUUUGGGCAUCAGGACAGAGUUCUUGGCAAACGAUUUGACGAAAUAAAACCAUAUUACUAGAAAUAUACGAAUAUACACAGCUCAAAAUUGAUUGAAUUAGCAAAAACACAAAUUAAGGACGACAAUGAACCACCAACCGGAGAUGACACCCCCGCGGCAAACAGGAGAAAGAUAAUCUUUCAGGGAAAGAAGGCACUGGACCACAUAGGAUUAUGAUUGUCAUGAAAUUGCAUCAUCAUCUCAUCCCCAUGACCAAAACCCAUGUUUUCACCUGCAGGAUUAUUCAUCCAAUCCGUGAACCAUUGAGGCCUGUGAACUGCUGCAUCCAUGGUCAGAUCCACCGAUGGCUUCUGCUCCUGUACUUGUACUCCUCCAGCUAGCAUGUCAUUAGCAGCCAGAGUCACAGGUGGAUGUGCUGGUGGUUGUGCUGGCGGCGGGGGCGCUGUUGCUGCCUGAGGCUGUGAAAUUUGCUGAUGGUGAGGAGCCAUUUUCUUGAGGGAAUCAAUUCUUUUGUAAAUCUCCUUCAGAUUCUGAUCAAUCAGCCACCCCAGAUCAUUCAAAUCUGGCAUGGACAUGUUCUGCAUCCCUUUUCCAGUCAAGCACUGGUACAUCACCUCAGUCAUCUCCUUCUCUCGAUUAUCCUUGUGCUGUUUCUUGAGUUGUUCGUUUGCCUUGGCUAUCCUUUGCCUGAUGAAGCUCUCUUGAUUCACCAUCUUCUUGCUUUGCUCCAUUUCAGGCAUUCUCUUGAACUGGGAAAUUACACGUUGAACUCCCAUGGUAUUUGGCCAAACCUCAGGCUGAGAUUCGUAUGGACUAUAUAUAAUAGCACAGGCAUCAAUACCACAAAGGGUGCUGAGUUCACCCACCUUCUUCAUCAGACCCUUCUUCCUUUUCUUGAAUGUUGCUUUUCUUGCCGAAUCAUUAGUGAUGAAAGCCAGUUUUACCUUCUUCCUAGUCAUGGCUAAAGAAACUAAAGAUGCAAACAAAGGGAAGAAUAUGGUAUUUUGAAAUAUUUUUUGUAUUGUUUCUAGUUCCAAAUUGUGAUUGCUAUAUAUACAGAUAUUUCAGGUGUCAGAAUUAAUACUAAAGAUUUUUUCAAUUUGAACACAUUGUAUUGGAGACUCAGGCGAUCUUAAGAUUACGGUAAGUAUGUUAUGGCCAUUUAUUGCUGCCAUGAUACUAGUCCAUUCUAUCUACUGACUUUUGCACUACAUUUCACUCGAGAGGAUGAACUUUAUAUACAUUUGUGAAAUAUGAGAUUCUGUAAAGCUUGUGAUUACAAAAGUCUUAAUGCAUUGAGGAUAUUUUCAGGUACUUUCAAUUUUUGUAAAAGAAAAAACUAAUUUUUUAGGGCAUGAGAGCGCGUGGCCUCCCCUUGAUUCCGUCUUUGCAAAAUAGGUAUAUUUUUUUCCUUUAUUACAUGGUAUCAUACAAACAAAAAUCCCACCAAAAUAUAAAAAGUAAUCAAUUAAGGAUCCUAAUCCUUUUCUUUUUCUUUUUAGGUAAGCGAUUAAGAAUGGCGCGUGUUAAUUUACGCGAUUAUCUCAGCCAAAAACAUGCUAGAAGCUUGCUUAAGGUCGACCUUGGCUUCUUGUAGUUUUUGAACGUUUCGACAUACAUGAAAGCAGCCACAAAACCUAAAAAAAACAAUAAUAAUAAUGAGUUUUAUGCUUUAACCAGGAAAAGAUUUAGUUGAGUAUGAAUGAUUUUCAAAUUGUAUCUCCAGUCCAAGCUAUUCUGGCUAGCUAGGUGUAUCUUGACAAUUUACUAUGUCAGUUGUUCCAUCGAAGGACAGCUUAGAUAAUAAAACUGAGAUUCAAGAUAGAAUCGUAACAGCUAUAUGGUCUCAUUAUACACAAUAAAAAUUCACAUAUUUAUACAGAUAUGGUAACAAGAAAAGAUUAUCAAUAACUCCUCCAAUGAACCUGGAUAUGACAUACAAGGUACAUGUUAUUCAUGUGACUAAACUUACGUUGGCAUAUCUGAUGAAUAAGAGCAUGAACAAUGAUGUUUUGUUUGAGUUACAAAGUCUUCUCCUGUCGAAUUUUUUUUCAAUGUGUUAGUUUAAUCAAAUUGAAUAUAUAUAUAUAUAUAUAUAUAUAUAUAUAUAUAUAUAUAUAUAUAAGUGUCUACAAAGAACCAAUAUUUGCAGGAGUAACGUUUUAUAGAUGCAUUCCAUAUUAUGAUACAUACAUUUUGGACCUCCCGCAAUGCUGCGAAAUUAAUUUACCAAAUUAAAUAACGAGAUUUAAACAAUUUGUUGCCUUAUUAAAGUGCUUCAAUUAUCUAAGCAUCUCACUUUAACUUGGUGACCCUCUCUUUCUCUCUAACCUUUUUUUUUUUUUAACACAAUAAUUUGGAUCAUUUCUCGAUUUGUUUGUGUCAUGGCCAUGCUAGUCUUCUCGAUAUUGUUCCAAUUUUAUCGGAUGUCACUGAAAGGAGUUCGUGAUUUUCAGCAAAAUAAUAAGUCUGUCAAAGCAUUUUCCUGUCAAUUUAGCGUACGUACGAGUAUCGAAGCUACACAUUUUGUGUUUCUUUUUGGUUGGUGAGCCUAAAAGAACAACAUUUUUAAGUUUGGUGCCCAAAAUAGCUCCCCUUUUCUUCUACACUAGCAUCCACAAAUUCGUCAAUAUUUAUGAAAUUCUAAGCUAGACCUAUGCUCCUAUGUGCAAGCCAGCUAUUUUCCUGAGACAAUCCAUUUUCCUCAAAAAAUUUUAUGUUUUACGUGAACUUAUUUUACAAUCAAUCUUUUGUUUUACAUAUAUCAAAUCGUUAUAAUACUUUUUAUUUUUUUUUUACAAAAGUUUUAGAAAAUAGUAAUCUAAAUGGGCUCUAAAAUUGUAAUGUUCUACCUAUUGCCAUUAUAGAUGGAGAAUUAUUUAUGAAAACAGCCGUUUAAAGUGACUCUUUUCUUUUAAUCUACACUUGGUUACCAUAAGAAGCUCCUGGUAAAAGUUCAGUUGAGCAUGCAUGAUUUUAGUUGAUCAGUCCUGCCCACAAACAUGUUCUGCGAUGCUUUGUAUCCACAAGAGGAGCCAUUUCUUGAACGACUUAGGAGUUGAUUCUCUUGUUUAAGAUGGAAUUGAUUGUGUGAUUCUGUGUUCAAUUUACUUAAUCAUUCUUCUAAUCAAUCUUGAUUUCCAACAGUUUGAGCAUUUUAUCGUUUCAGAUAUUAAAAAAAAAAAAAUUGGUUCUCAAUACUAUGAUUAAUUGGGUUAAUACCGCUCUAUUUAUUAUCUGACCAAACUCAACAAUGACUGACGUUUGUUUUCUAGUUUGAACUCAGUGGCCUGUCUUUUUUCCUUUCAAUUGUCCUACAAUUUUCCUGGACUUUCUUCAUUGGUUUUGCGAGAAUGAUUAAAAAUUUAAUGAUUGCCCACCAAUUUCAAAAGCGGUUCAAUGUCGGGGGAAUUUUUCAGUUGCAAUAUCCCUUGGACUUUGGGUGUGAUUGUGGGCUUGGUGAACGUAGCUUGUCUAAGAUGAGACACAAGUAGAGACCAAGAAGCCUUCAGCCUUUAGGAAAACUGGAUUGGAUUUUUUUGAGCCAAUGCUUAAGUGUACCCCGAAUAGGAAAAUUUUGAGUUCUAUAUCAGGGCUUAAUUGGGCUAUCAAUCAUACUAGCUUUCAUUUUUUAGGGUAUAACAAAUUUUAUCCUACACCGACUCGUACUUUAUACUAGGGGAAGGGGGCAUCUAAAGAGGUCAAAGGAAAAAUCGGAGGAAACUGAACCACCACCGACUCAAACAAGUCAGUAAAGUAAAAGUUGUUUUGAGAUUCCAAUGCAAAAACAAGGCAAAAAAAUGAAAAAGAAAUUGUAUUGAUAUGUUUCAUUCUUUUUGUCAUUUUUCUUUAGGUUAUUCUUUGCUUUCAAUAAAAAAUUCAAUUGCCAAAUAAUCCUAGAAGUGCUUUUGCUCCUCGAAACUUUCAAUCUAAAGUGACCAUUUAAGUAUUUGAACAAUUUUUACAAGAAUCACUUUCUGAAGAUGUCAAAAGAAACUAAAAUGUCUAAAACGUACCCUUUGGUGUAGUUCGUUUUUUCUUUCUGGGCGAGGAAAGUCAUUUUUCAUCAAAAAAUUUCUAUAUUUUUGAUGAAUACAUUUUCCAAUCAUCUUUUUAUCUCAUAUAUAUCAAAUAGUUACAGUAUAUUUUUCUACACAAACUCCAAAAAAUUGCAAUCAAAAUAGGACCUUGAUUUUCUGUAUAAACAAAGUAUAUGUAUUUGUGUUUGUGUGUCAUUUAUAUUUGUGCAUGCAUAUUUCAUGGCCAACAAAUGUCGACAUCUAUGCUUAGUUCGUCGGAGCAGUGAACAUUAUAUUUUUCUAUACAAACUCCAGAAAAUUGCAAUCAAAACAAGACCUUGAUUUUCUAUAUAAACAAAGUAUAUGUAUUUGUGUUUGUAUGUUUAUUUAUAUUUGUGCAUACAUAUUUCAUGGCCGACAAUUGUUGAUAUCUGUGCUUAGUUCGUCGGAGCAGUGAUCAAGUUAAAGGUGACACGAUUAUUGGAAUAUGUCACUUGCAAUAAGCACAAAUAAAUUAAGCACCUUGAUUUGUGUUUCUGUGACAAAAGAGCGGUCGCAGUCAAUUACCGAGAUCAAUGAUAUAAACAAAGUCGAAUCUUCAGCAAGAAGGUAGUUAAUACAUUUUUCAGUUAACUACUGAUACAAGUAAUGAAAGUUAGAAGUGUAAACGGGUCGAGUCAAAUCGAAUAUUUUAAUAUAAAAAUCCAUUAAGUCAUUUGAGGAUGGCCAUCUUGGAUUUCUCCCAACCCGAGGUUAAAUCACCGCGUCAGUUAUGAGGUCAAGAUGAGGCCCGAAAUCCAGGAUCCCUAAUGACCUCGGAUAGACCUCAUCUCAGACCCUGUGUGACCUCAACCUAUGUCCUUUAGGCAGCUCAUCUCGGUUGCACGCGGAUGAUGUCAACCCCAAGGAUUUUAAAAUCGGGAUCCUACCUAGGAUUGUUUUUUGAUUUGUAGGAUCGGAUGGUAGAAUCGGUAGAUCCUACAAAAAAAUGUAAUAAAUUGUCAUAUUUAUAAUUUUUAAGUUUGCAAUUCAUAAAUAUAGUAACAAAUAAUUUAAUUCAUGUGCAAUCAAUAUAAUUAUAUUGUUAAUUAAGGUUAAUUCAUUUCUAAAGGCUCUAAACCAUAUUAAUUUAUUAUAAUAAAUACACAAAACACUAGCUCCAUGUGAUAACCUAUAACAAAGAUCAUUUAUUCACUUUAGUGAAUUAUAUGACUCAAAUUUAAAGAUUCAUCAAAUUUUCUAGGUUUGGAAUUGGGCUUAAUUAUUUACAUGGAUUUAAAGCACUCUGAAUAUAGUUUACAACGCAAUAAACGACACUCAAUUUCGAAUUUUCUACACAAAGAUAUAGUCAAAAUACUAAAAUUGUUAUUUAAUUUAUUGAAAAUAAUAUAAUCGUAUCAGGAUCGUAGGUUGGAUCGUUCGCGAUCCUAACAACUAUGGUCAACCCGCCUGACACCCUAUUUAGUGCUUUAUCUGAAAAGCUGUGGAGACUCCGUCGAGAACGCCCAGUGCUUUCUGGGAAAAGACCUGGGCUAUUACUACAGAAAUAGAGCAUCACUGUAAUACAUAGGUGGUGGGGCCCGGGUGUUUAAACCUUUUGUCCUUCCCUCCAAACUCACCCUAUAAAUACCCCUCUGCUCUCCCACGCAAGUAAGCACACUAUUACAUUGAUACUGAUCAGUACUCUCCAUUUUCUCUCACUAAACUGGCUUGAUCGUCGGAGUAAUCCCAGGGGACAAAGCCCCGCCCUUCACUUCGGAGUACAAAACCUCACUUCUCGCAAGAGGGAGCUGAAUUAGGUCAGCUCGGUUACCUAACCAGAAAUCACCUCUUCAAUUGGCACCGUCUGUGGGAAUCGAGAUUACUUCCAAAAUGAGAUCUACGUGCUCCAGGAGUAGGAAGGUUCCCUCAACUGGAGCUGAGCCAAGCUCAAAUGCUCAGCAAGAUCAUAUCUUAGAGGAGCAAGGAUCCCCGAGGGCUCACCCCACAAACGAAGAUGCCAUUGCUCGGAUGGCCUAAUUUGUAGCUGACAACCCUAAUAUUUUUUAGAAACUCGGAAGGUAUUUCAAAAAGCAGGGCAAGAAAAAAACCGAAUCUUCUAAGAGAAGUCUACAAAGUCCCCUGAGAUGCCUUCCGGGGAAGACUCCGACGAUGGGCAUCUUUCCCGGAGCACCUCAAAACGAGCCUCCUCCAAGGCAAUCUCCAAGAUUCCUCAAUUUGCAGGGCAUUUUUUCGAGAUUUACUAGGAAGACGGAUGGAGGAUGCACAUUGGCACCCUGAGAGGCUGGCAGCUGAUUACAUGAGGGCUCCACCCUUCACUGACGACAUAAAUAGGAAGAGGGUUCCCCCCAACUUUAAGUUUCCGGUGCUGCCACCUUACUACGGACGAGGUGAUCCAGAGGAUCACCUCCGAGCCUUCAUCUCGGCAUUUCGUCUGUUCUACGUCCUCGAUGUCGUAAUUUGCCGAGCUUUCCCCAUCUUCCUGCAAAGGACUGUCCGAAAAUGGUUUUGAAAUUAGAACCUAGGAGCAUCUCCUCGCUGGAUGAACUAGUCGAUCGAUUCAUCCACCACUUUGUGUCGUCUCAACCAGUGACGAAGAUCUCGGCCUACCUGCUAAACAUACAACAAACCUCGGGAGAGUUCCUGCGCUCGUACAUGCAAAGGUUCCAUAAGAAAAAUGUGCAGAUACCCGACCAGAAUGAAUAGGUGACCAUAGCAGCUUUCACGAACAGGUUGAUAACGGGCACCUUCAACACGGAGAUAAAUCGGGAGUACCCACGAUCACUUUAGAAACUUUGGGAAAUGAUGGAUCGAGAAAUCCAGAGUGAAGAUUUAAACCGCAUGAAAAGAGAAGUCCAAGCAACCCGCGCAGGGCAAGAGCUUCAAAAGAAGAAAGAGUCUACCAAGAUGAUCAGGGCCCCAGCGGCCCGUUAAACCAAUUUCGAGAUCGCGCAGUGUAUUUGAAAGGAUCGCUAAUGGGAGAUUGUCGGUCUCUUAUGCGGAGCUCACUCCUCUUAAUACUACCAGGUCCCACAUUCUAGCCGUCAUGGAACAAAAUCACCUCGAUCGUACCUUUCCACAGAUGCUCAGGAGGAGGGAGAAGAGGAACUCCAACCUCUACUGUAUCUACCAUAGGGACAUCGGGCAUGAAAUCGAAAAUUGUAGUUACUUGAAGAAGGAAAUAGAGAACUUGAUUAAACAAGGGUAUCUGAGGCAGUUCAUCCGCAAAGAUGGAGACUUCAAUCGGAGCAUCUUCCGUCCCGACAACCGAAGUGAACCACGUCAGGAUGACAGGCGGGAAUAAAAGGAUCAGGGCCGUGGUCCUGGUGACCACAGGGAGUCUAAAAGACCCCUGAGAUGGAUCCCUGAAUUACGGCCCGAACAUAGCCGAGGUGAUUAACACGAUCGCAGGUGAUCCGACGGGAGGAGAUAGGCAGAAUUCCCGAAAGAGAACCUACCGCUAAGUUAGCUUGGACCCCCCCGAGCCUAACUCAAGACUCUCCGACGUGAUCACCUAUGGUCCAAGCAACCCCGUCCCUGCCGCCGCUAGUAACCACGAAACUCUCGUGAUUGAAGUCCUAGCCAAUAACUACCUUAUCAAGAAAGUCUAUGUAGAUUCCGGCAACUCAGUAGAUGUCCUAUACUGCCGAACCUUUGAGAGCCUGAAACUGAAAAGAUAACAACUCGCCCCCGUUAGGACUCCGUUAGUAGGGUUCGGGGUACACGUAGUCUACCCAGAGGAGAUGGUCUCCCUGAUAGUGACUAUUGGUCGUCAUCCCGCUGCCAGACUAUUUCUGUUAGUUUUGCGAUUGUCAGAGCGGAUUCUCCCUACAAUAUGUUAAUAGGACGGCCCACACUUAAUGCCCUGAGGGCUGUAUACUCCACCUAACACAUGAGUUUCAAGUUUUCUACCCCGGUUGGGGUGGCCAAUGUAAGUAGCGAUGUGAGCGCGGUUAGAGAAUGUUACCUCACUACCAUACAAGCUGCAGUCUCUCCCCGAGCUGAAUUAAUGGCUGAGGGAAAAAGGUCGAACGUCUUCUUUAUAGACUGCAUCGGCUCUUAACAGGUAGAGGAGUCUCGUAGGCUUGACCCUGGAGACGAGGUGGAAGAGGUAACCUUAGAUGAGGUGAGACCCGACCAAGUGAUCCAAGUAGAGAAGAGUCUCUCCUCGCCUCUCAAAGAAGAAAUGAUCAGUCUGAUAAAAGAGUACUGAGAUAUUUUCACUUGAACUGCCGAUGAGGUGGUCGGAGUGCCUUCUGAGAUUAUGACCCACCGACUUAACGUCGACUCACAGGCCCGUUCUGUGAAGCAAAAACGAAGGCACUUCGGCACCGAGUGCAGUAAAGCCAUUUCUGGAGAAGUCGACAAACUCUUGCCGGCCAAAAUAAUCCGGAAAGUCCAAUACCCCACCUGACUGUCCAACUCUAUCAUGGUUAAGAAGGACUCGGUGGAUGGAGAAUGUGUGUAGAUUUCACUGAUCUCAACAAAGUCUACCUCAAAGACUAUUACCCCUUACCGAGAAUAGAUGCCCUCGUCGAUUCGGCCAUGGGACAUGAGAUUUUCUGAUUCGUAGACGCCUUCAAGGGAUAUCAUCAAAUAGGAAUGAGUGAGGUGGAUCAGGAGAAGACGGCGUUCUACACUGACCAAGGCGUCUAUUGUUACACGACAAUGCUUUUCGGAUUAAAGAACGCUAGGACAACCUACCAAAGGGUCGUCAACCGUAUCUAUAAAGAUCAGAUCGACCGUAAUAUAGAGGCUUACAUGGAUGAUAUUCGACUAAAAAGCCAAUCUACUUCGAGCUUCCUACCUGAUAUGAGAGAGGUGUUCGAUAUUCUCCAAAACGCUAAGAUGAUGUUAAAUCCGAAGAAGUACGUUUUCGGUGUCACCUCGAAAAAAUUCUUGGGAUACCUAGUUUCCUGUCGAGGCAUUGAGACUAACUCUAAUAAAGUAAGAGCUAUUCAGGACAUGUCCCCGCCUCAAAAUGUCCGAAAUAUCCAAACAUUAAACGGCCGCCUAGCUGCCCAGAACAGCUUUUUAUCUCAAUCUGCUAAAAAGGCUUUACCCUUUUUCAAGGUGUUGAAGAAAGCCGAUCAAUUCACCUGGACCGAGAAAUGUCAACAAGCUUUCGACUAGCUAAAGGGGUAUUUGCACCACCUCCCCACCCUUGUUUCAUCUCGUCCCGAGAAAAUGUUAUAUCUUUAUCUGGCUGCAGCAGUCGAGGCAGUCAGUGCAGUGCUAAUCCGAGUUGAGAGAACUCAGGUGCUUGUCUAUUAUGCCAGUCGCGCCCUUCGCGGAACGAAAGUUCGUUACACCCGGGUGGAGAAGCUGGUACUGGGGUUAGUUCAUACAGUCAGGCGGUUAAAGCCUUACUUCCUGACCCAUCCCAUCUCCGUCGGGACAGAUCAACCUAUUCGGCAGAUACUGGUACAACUCGAGGCUUCCGGGGGCCUUACCAAGUGGGCUGUCGAGUUGGGAGAAUAUGAUCUGUCAUACGAAUCCCGUACAGCCAUCAAGGCUCAAGCACUUGCAGAUUUUUUGGCCGAGCUCACGUUCUAAGUAAGCCAAAAUGCCACUCUAGACAUAUCCGUGCCGCAGCACUGGAUGUUGUAUGUGGACAGUUCUUCUAACGGUGAUGGCAGUGGAGCCGGACUGCUCCUAGAAGAUCCUCAUGGAGAGGUGUACUCAUACGCCAUCCGCUUUGAUUUCUCUGCAACAAAUAAUGAAGCCGAGUACAAGGUCUUAAUUACGGGUUUUCGGCUAGCCCGCAAAUUUGGUGCUCGGCGGAUCCAAGUCCCGAGCGACUCCCAACUCGUAGCGUGCCAAGUGCUUGAUGAAUAUGAAGCCAAGGAAGAGGCCAUACAACGGUACCUCUCUAAAGUCCAUCAACUCACUGCACAUUUUAAGUCUUUCGAAAUUCAAAGAAUACUACGAUCGCAGAAUAGGCGAGCCGACGUCUUAUCUCGGCUAGCUUCCACUUCGUUUUCAACUCUCAGCAAGACAGUUCUAAUAGAGGUACUGGCCGAGCCAGAAUACCUGGAAGAGACAAUCUAUCCUGUGCAUGCGGGUGACACAUGGAUGAGUUCACUCAUCUCAUUUUUGGGCCAGGAAAUCUUUCCCGAAGACAGAGUCGAGGCCGAGAAGAACCCAACGCAAAACUGUUCGGUACGCACUUCGGAAUGGUAAGCUGUAUAAAAGGUCCUAUUUUGGUCUAUGGCUGCGAUGCAUUAUACUCGAAGAAGGACGCCGUAUCCUUCAAGAAAUACACGAAGGCUUGUGUGGAACUCACGUUGGCAACCGGAUGUUGGCAAAAAAGACACUACUCCUCGGGUAUUUCUGGCCUACUGUCCGACAAGAUGCUCAGAACCUUGUUCUUAGCUGCCCCUCAUGCCAAUGUCAUGCUUUCGAACAUCACCAACCUACUUACUUCAUAGUCCCUAUAACUUCACCCUGCCCUUCGAGUAAUGGGGGACAGACAUCAUCGGUCCCUUUCCUAAAACUGUUGGAGGGUACGCCUUCCUCGUAACGGCGGUGGACUACUUCUCGAAAUGGAUCGAGGCCGAGCCGAUGAGAAACAUAACCAGCCAAACUGUCCAGAAAUUCUUCUGGAAGUGCAUAGUUUGCCGCUUCGGAAUACCCCGAGUGAUCGUCUUGGAUAACGAGAAGCAGUUUGCUGACAAUCGGUUGAAAAGUUGGUGCGAGAACCUGGGUAUCAAACAGCAUUUCACCUCGGUAGGUCAUUUUCAAGCAAAUGGUCAGGCUGAGAACUUUAAUCAAACUCUCUUAUAUGGCAUCAAGACCUGGUUACACCAAACUAGAUCAUCAUGGGUAGAAGAACUCUCCAAUGUCUUGUGGUCCUACCAAACCACGCCGAGGUCAGCUAAGCAGAAGACCCCCUUCUCCUUGACCUAUGGGUCCAAAACGGUCGUCCCAACUGAAAUCUUUACACCGAGCCCACGGCUGGCAGCAUACGCGACCAAGGCGAACGAAGAAAAAGGGCAGCUAGACCUCAACCUCGUGGAAGAGAAAAGGGACGUAGCCACGAUUCAGGUUGCUUCGUACAAGCACUCCCUGGCUAGUUACUACAAUGCCCAUGUUAAACACCGCCGCUUCAAUUCAGGGGACUUGGUUCUAAGGAAGAAUAUAGUUAGCCGAGCCGAAACUCAAGAGAAGCUAGACCCAAAAUGGAAAAGUCCUUACCGGGUUGUCAAAUCCAGCCAAAGUGGCUACGGCAAACUAGCCUACCGAGAUGGUUUUCUAAUACCAAGGACUUGGCAUACUGAGAACUUAAGAUUGUAUUAUCCUUGAAGAAACUUAAUGAUAUGUUUGCUGUGCCGUCACUUAGUUAUUUUUUAAUGCCUUGCCAAUAUCUUAUUAAAAAAUAAGGGAGACAGAAGUAGACGAAGUGAAACAGAAAGACAAUUCUCAUUAAAAGUUAACAUUACAAGGAAAUUAGUUUACAAUAUGAACCGAAAUCAAGAAAAGCCUCUAAGCAUUUCCCGUUUCGGUGUCACUAACACCUACUUCCUUCUCGGCAUCCCCUCCGCCGACCUCACCCUCACUAGUAACAUCCCCCUGGCCGCCAUCACCCUCCUCGACGCCCUCUUCUCCCUCAAGCUCCUGGUCGACUUCGGACAGCCACUGGUUAAACUCAUCUUGAACUUCAGCUAGGUUUUUAUCUGCUUGGAGGCCUUCGGCCAUCCGCUCACAUAAUUCCUUAGCAUCCUCAUUGUAAUUAUCUUUGUUCUUGAAGGAUUCCAAAUCCUCAAGAGUAAGGAGAGAUGCCAUUUCGUUUAUCACCGAGGUGUAGCCGAACAUAAAUCCCGGCAAGGUUAGCUCGCCAAAGUCCUUGGUGAAAGCCUCGGAUUUCCUGAAGGAUUCCACAGCCGAGGCUCUAGCGCUCUCGAGCAACUGCUGGUGUGACUUCUUUUCCUCCUCGGACCUUUUCUGCUCUUCUUUUAAGGUUGAUUUGAGGGAAUUGAUAGUGGCUUGAUCCUCUUCCCUCUCGGUCGUGAUUCGGUCACGUUCCGUCUAAAGGUGGGUCUUUUCGGAUUUGGUGACGGCAAGUUACUUCUCCAACUUGGAGAUUUUGUCUUGCAACUUGCCGAGCCCUGCUGUUUGAGCAGGUCGGAGUACCGCCUCGCCAUCUCGGCUACAAACGCGGAAGAGGAUACCGAAGAAACCAUUAAACUCUGUACCAACUCAGGCGGAGUCAACUUUUUGGUGAACUCCACAUCCCUCGGCAGUGUGGAGCAUGUUAUUAGCUCGUGGGCCGCGCGGGGGUUGGUGCACCGGUCGUUGACCGUGAGAUCCCAGUCCGGGCACCAGUGACCUCCAGGGUGCCUCUUGUUAUCCCCGACAAACAGAGGUGCUAUAUGGAAGCGGUGCCAUAAUGAUGAACCGAUGCGCGACCGAGGACUGAAAUUGUUUACCUCGACCAUGAGAGGGUACGGCGAUUGUAACUCCUUGGGCAGCUACCCCCUCUGGCACAGACGAGGUGGACCCAACCAUAGCCGUAGCCGAACUCUCGGCCACCGAGGUCUUCACGACGGGGCUUGGGGUAGUUUUCUUUUUUGGGGGCGCGGAGGUGUCCCCCGAAGCUUUUCUCUUCGGCCUUUUGGCCACGACUGUUGAGUCCGAGGUGAUGAUGUCAGAUACUCUCACCACUGCACAAGAAACAAAUAUUAUUAUUUAGAAUAGCCAAAGUAAUGAGAAAGUUAUGAAAGAAAAUUUACAGGAUUUUUUAAGUCUAAUAAAGAAUAAUGGCGUCUUCUUGGGAUCAAUGAUAGCUCGGCUAAUCCCCCCAUCGACCAGAAUUGUCUCGGGGUAAUCCUAACUAUUGAUCCGGACGCCCAGCCGCAUUAUCUUCUGAAAGUUCUUUUCGUCCAAAUCCCCUAGGGAGGGGUCACUUUUGGCAUUCACGGACCUCCACCAGAAACCCCACGGGAAGUCCCCAGCCGAGACGAAGAUGAAGUCAUGCUUCCAAUUCUUAAUCGAGGUGGGAGCAUCGACCACGAGUUUCGGGAUUGUGUUGUUUCGAUUGCAGAAGUAAAACCAUCCCUUGUCGCUCCCAUGCCUCUUGAUGGUGUAAAAUCGGCGAAAGAGUUGGACCGUGGGGGUCACCUCUUAUUCUCAGCAGAGCAUUUCAAACCCCACCAAGAUUCGGAUCGCGUUCGGAACGAGUUGAGUGAUCCGAACUGCAAAAUACCGGAGUGCGUCUCGAAAAAACCUUAUGGUAGGCAUCCUAAACCCGGCCUCUAGUUGCUCCACAUAGACAGCUACGGAGCCCAUUGGGGGCUUCUCGGCUGACUGGCUCGGCCCAGGUGUCUCAAUGCCAUACCCCUCCCUAAAAGGGUACUUUCGCAUUAUCUGAGUGGCUUCGGCCAAAUCGACCCAACUUCAGAAAGACGGAAGCUGCCCAAAAUCUAUUGCGGAUGGGUUUCCGGAGACAACUGGCUCCACCACCCCCUCGUCAUGAGGGAUCUCAAUUCCGAGUUUGUCAUUAUAAAGAGUCUCGGAAUCCUCCUCGUUCGUCUCGGGAGACCCCUCUGCUUGAGGAGUCUCGACAGUUUCCUCCCCAUGACUAGACGAAGCCUUUUCCCCGGAGUUAGACGUAGUCUUCUCUUCUGAUGGGUCGAGGCCCUCUUCGGCUUAAUAACUCAGUUUCACCAUUUGUUUAUACAUUUUAGCUACUUUAGCCAUAUAUGUAAGGAUGAGAUGAAGAAGGAAGAUACUUACUGUUUACUAGUGUGAGUUGGGGUCAGAUAAGACACUAGAUCUCGACCGGAAAGAUAGAUCUUGGCGCCGGCUCGGAAACUUGCAAUCGUUGGCUAUAAAAGGGGAAAUGGUGAAACGUAAUACAGUGAAAAUGUCCCCUAUUUAUAGAGGUUAGCGAAAAUGCGAAGAGGCGGCAAGAAUACGAAGAGGCGGCAACAAUAAAUUUCAAAAAGGCGUGCCCCUCUCUCCUCAUUAAUGAAUGCCUCUUCACUGACACACUACCUGCAUACACGCGUCCACUACUUUGCAUCAUUUCGGUCACCCAUAACCAUCCUGUCACCCACAUCCCUCCAUCUGACCUGUCCACGUGUUAUGCUCCGUGACAGCCCGGCACGAUUUGCAAUAACUCAUCCUCCUCACCUUAGGGGUGAGCAAUCCCGACACGAAGAAGCCUCGGAACCUCAUGAAGCUCAGUGCUCCCGAGGUUUGGGGGGUUUAUUAAGAAUGGUCAUCUCGAAUUUCUCCCAACCCGAGGUUAAAUCACCUCAUCAGUCAUGAGGUCAAGAUGAGACCCGAAAUCCAAGAUUCCUAAUGACCUCGGAUAGACCUCAUCUCAGACCCUGUGUGACCUCAACCUAUGUCCUUUAGGCAGCUCAUCUCGGCUGCACGCGGAUGAUAUCAAGCCGCCUGACACCCUAUCUGAAAAGCUGCGGAGACUCUAUCGGGAACGCCCUGUGCUUUCUGGGAAAAGGCCUAGGCUGUUACGACAGAAACAGAGCAUCGCCAUAAUACACAGGUGGUGGGGCUCGGGUGUUUAAACCUCUUGUCCUUCCCUCCAGACUCACCCUAUAAAUACUCCUAUGCUCUCCCACGCAAGUAAGCACACUGUUACAUUGAUACUGAUCAGUACUCUCCAUUUUCUCUUACUAAACUGAUUUAAUCGUCGGAGUGAUCCUAGGGGACAAAGCCCCGCCUUUCACUUCGAAAUAUAAAACCUCACUUCUCGCAAGAGGGAGCUGAAUUAGGUCAGCUCGGUUACCUAAGCAGAAAUCACCUCUUCAUUAUUUUAAUGAGUUUGAAAUUGUACAUAAGUUUGGUCUCUUUUUCUAUUGAGCGAUCAAACUCGAGUAACUUAAAUCCUUUACUUUUAGAUUUUAAUUUUCUACUAAUUGAGUCAAGUUCAAGCCAAAUUUGAAAGUUAAUCGAACACAAAAUAUUAUUCGAAUGUAAUUUUAGUAGUUGUAAGUUCAAACAACAUUUUUACUAAAUCAAACUCGAUUCAAGAAGAACUAAAUAAAUUGGUUCUCUUUUCAGCCCGAAAUCAAAGCUCUUGCUCCUUGAACCUUGUUUAAUGAGCCAACCGAGCCUGGCUGGGAUCGAGGUGUGAUCAUUUAGGUGUCAUCCGAUCCGAGUUAAGCUGUCGAUUUUUAUGAGUUUGAUUGCCAAAUUUCAAUAAAAGAACAAGAGAAGAAAAGAAAGCAAAGUCCUCAAGCACUACACGAAGAUUAAUCUGGAAAUUGGGAGAACGGGAAUUCCCCAGUGAGUGAUUCGUGGUCAAAUAACGCUAUCACUAAGUAAAAUUUUGGGGUAAGUGGCAUCACUAAGUAAAGAAACGUCAACAAUCAUAUUUCCCCCAUCAGCUAGCAAAGCAAGAGCAAGAGUCAAUUGGAUAAGUGAUAAUUUUUCACCCAAAGAGGAAAAGUAGACCCUUAGUCAUGGAUUUAUAGGUAAUAAUUAUGAGGCAGUUUUCAUUUUGGCAAUUACUUGGUCAUUUGUCAAAUCUUAUGUUGACAUAUAUGCCCCACUCGAGAAACUCGUCGCACUACUUGUUGGGAGGGAAAUAAAAAAAUUAUAGAUCACCGGUUAUACUGUUUGGAUGAAUCCUGGUGUAAUGUAAUGUUGACAAGGGCGUAACAAUCAUCAAACACGUAUCAGCUUAUUAGAAUUUUACGUUUACACUUUGCAAGAUUAACAAAACAAAUCACAUGAAUCCAAAUGUGGAUUUACAAAGACACCAGAAAUCAAAUCAUCAGCCAUGACAUAAUAGACAAUGACAAAGUUAAUCACCAAUUCCACUCCAAUUCUCCCUACUGCAAAUACAGAAAAGAAAAAGAAAAUAGAAGGCACAAGAAUGAAAAGAUCACUAGACACAUAGCAACAUACAAACUAAAGGACCUAUAACAGUACCAUCCAUCCAUGAUAAUAGUAGUACUCCAUAUGCCCUUAAAUUACAUACAAAAGAAAAUAUUCCAAGGCCAUCUUUGUAUCCC
rnacentral:lncRNA from 1 species